rnacentral:rRNA from 1 species
AACGAACGCUGGCGGCGUGCCUAACACAUGCAAGUCGAGCGCGAAUGGAGCAAUCCUAGUAGAGCGGCGCACGGGUGCGUAACACGUGGGUAAUCUGCCUCAAAGAUCGGAACAACCUGCCGAAAGGCUGGCUAAUGCCGGAUAAGCCUACGGACUCUUUGGAGUCUGAAGGAAAAGGUGGCCUCUGUAUACAAGCUAUCACUUUGAGAUGAGCCCGCGGCCCAUCAGCUAGUUGGCGGGGUAACGGCCCACCAAGGCAACGACGGGUAGCUGGUCUGAGAGGACGAUCAGCCACACUGGAACUGAGACACGGUCCAGACUCCUACGGGAGGCAGCAGUGGGGAAUUUUGCACAAUGGGCGAAAGCCUGAUGCAGCAACGCCGCGUGUGUGAUGAAGGUCUUCGGAUUGU